rnacentral:rRNA from 1 species
UAGCUGGGUAGCUAUGUGUGGACGGGAUAAGUGCUGAAAGCAUCUAAGCAUGAAGCCCCCCUCAAGAUGAGAUUUCCCAACUUCGGUUAUAAGAUCCCUCAAAGAUGAUGAGGUUAAUAGGUUCGAGGUGGAAGCAUGGUGACAUGUGGAGCUGACGAAUACUAAUCGAUCGAAGACUUAAUCAA